AGAUUGAACGCUGGCGGCAUGCCUUACACAUGCAAGUCGAACGGCAGCACGGGAGCAAUCCUGGUGGCGAGUGGCGAACGGGUGAGUAAUAUAUCGGAACGUGCCCAGUCGUGGGGGAUAACGCAGUGAAAGCUGUGCUAAUACCGCAUACGAUCUAUGGAUGAAAGCGGGGGACUCGCAAGAGCCUCGCGCGAUUGGAGCGGCCGAUAUCAGAUUAGCUAGUUGGUGGGGUAAAAGCCCACCAAGGCGACGAUCUGUAGCUGGUCUGAGAGGACGACCAGCCACACUGGAACUGAGACACGGUCCAGACUCUACGGGAGCAGCAGUGGGAAUUUGGACAAUGGGCGCAAGCCUGAUCCAGCAAUGCCGCGUGCAGGAUGAAGGCCUUCGGUGUAAACUGCUUUUGACGAACGAAAAGGUCCUUUCUAAUACAGGGCUAAUGACGGUACGCAAGAAUAAGCACCGGACUAA
rnacentral:rRNA from 1 species